rnacentral:rRNA from 1 species
GCCGGCAGCUAGCUCUCUGCAACUCUCACAUGGAGUUGAAACUAAGCAAGGCUGCACCGGGUCAGUACCUGAAUGAGGAACCACAUGGGAAAGCUAGGUUGCUGCUGGAA